GACGAACCGUACGAACGUUAUUCGGAAUCACUGGGCUUAAAGGGUGCGUAGGCGGUCCGGAAAGUUGGGUGUGAAAGCCCUCGGCUCAACCGAGGAAUUGCGCUCAAAACUCCCGGACUAGAGGGAGACAGAGGUGAGCGGAACUUAGGGUGGAGCGGUGAAAUGCGUUGAGAUCCUAAGGAACACCAGUAGCGAAAGCGGCUCACUGGGUCUCUUCUGACGCUCAGGCACGAAAGCUAGGGGAGCGAACGGGAUUAGAUACCCCCGUA
rnacentral:rRNA from 1 species